AAUGAACGCUGGCGGCGCGCCUAAUACAUGCAAGUCGAGCGAGAAGACGUAGCAAUACGUUUGUAAAGCGGUGAACGGGUGAGGAAUACAUGGGUAACCUACCCUCGAGUGGGGAAUAACUAGCCGAAAGGUUAGCUAAUACCGCGUACGCUUCUUGGACUUCGGUUCAGGGAGGAAAGCGAUACCGUGGGUAUCGCGCUCUUGGAUGGGCUCAUGUCCUAUCAGCUUGUUGGUGAGGAACGGCUCACCAAGGCUUCGACGGGUAGCUGGUCUGAGAGGACGAUCAGCCACACUGGCACUGCGACACGGGCCAGACUCCUACGGGAGGCAGCAGUAAGGAAUAUUGCGCAAUGGGCGAAAGCCUGACGCAGCGACGCCGCGUGGGGGAUGAAGGUCUUCGG
rnacentral:rRNA from 1 species